UUAGCAAGUGUGUACCAAGCUGAGUGGUGUGGUUGGUGAAGCAAAAAGGAGGGAUGACAUCCAGAGGGAGAUUUAGGUUGGAUGUCAGAGAGCAGAUUUUUACAGAGAAGGGUGUUGAGGUGCUGGAACACGCUGAUAGAAAGGCUGUGGAUGCCAUGUCCCUGUGGGUGUUUAAGGCCAGUUUGGAUGGGGCCCUGGGCAGCCUGGUCUAGUCUGUGAUCCUUGAGGUUCCUUCCAACCCAAGCCAUUCUGUGGUUCUAUGAUUCUAUGAAAAGCAGCCCAGCUGGGAUUUUUGUGCUGUUUGCAAGCUACUGAGUGGUAGGGCCCAUGGUUUGAUUAUGUGUCACAUUUUCUUCACAGACCAAGUGUAUUGGUAGCUUACCAGAGCUCAGUAGUUUCUAGCAGGCCUGUGAGCUGUUGAACCUUAUGAAUGAGCAAGGGGCGCUUAAGUAUCUCAGCAGAACAGAAAGAGAUAGGAGCUAGUGCUCAUCUCUAAGACGGAACACUUGGCUGGGAAAGAAAAAAAUGAUGCACAGGAAGUGUGGGGGUUGGAAGAGAAGAGGCUGCUCUUGUUAGUGUGGGUGAAGGUGCUGAGCAUCUCAAGAAGAGAUGCUGUGACCUGUGUAGAACAUCUGCAACCUACAGCGUCCUGAGGAGGCCCAAGGAGUGCUCUGCUCAGGCUCUUCCUUAAAGGGUGCGUGACCCUUCUCUUAGAAACAAACUGCAGUUGGAUGGAACAGCUGGCUUGUAUUUGCCUGAUGUGACUGCUGGAACAGGUAGCACCUUGCCAACAGAGCUCCCUGCGCAAGUGGUCCUACUGACAGAAUGAGGUAUGUUUCCAUUUAGCAGUCCUUAAUGAGGACCGGAUUUUGCUCCUUUUGCCCUUGUUGGAUGUUACUCAUGCCCAUGACUAAUCCCAGAGAGCUGAAUGGAAGCUAUUCACCAAGGAGAGCGAGCCUGGCGUUCACAUGCUGACCCGCCAGCGUUGACUUCAAUGGGAAAUGGGAUUUUUGACCAAACAGAAGACAACAGGAUCUGACCCACAGUAAAUGUGUGACUAUAUGGAAAAGUCUAUUAAAAGCUUAGAGCGUCGUGUGGGAUAGCUGUGUUACUUACUCACAGUGCUGGUUGUGCAGAAAUCAUGCAGAGCUUCUCCAAAUUGAUGUAAACUUUAUAGUAUCUGUCAUAUAUCUUUCUUAUGCCACAAAACUGAAACACAGCUGGGAGACCGAGAAGUGUUUGUUUUAUGGGUGUUUUCAGGUAGGUGCUGGUAGUGUAAUCCCUGUGGCUUCCCCCUGGGCACUCUACUGCUGGUCCACAAAAAGCUGACGUGGGAGAGGUGAGAAUGGAUGCAAACCUACUAAACUGUAGUAAAAUUCACCACAUUCCGUUCUUGUAUGUAACCACUGUGGGCUUCCUUUCCCUGUAAGAUUUUAAUGCAAUUUCAUGACAUUAUAAUCUUUUAUGGGAGAAUAAAGGGAUUUGUUCCUUAUUAGGAAAUAAAAAGUUAUAGGCUCAAAUAAAGCAGAU